GGGCGGUGGACAUAGAGGAGGUAACCUUGGAGAGGAUCAUGAGGGGGCGGUGGACAGAGAGGAUCAUGAGGGGGCGGUGGACAGAGAGGAUCAUGAGGGGGCUGUGGACAGAGAGGAUCAUGAGGGAGCGGUGGACAGAGAGGAACAUGAGGGGGCUGUGGACAGAGAGGAACAUGAUUGGGCGGUGGACAGAGAGGAACAUGAUGGGGCUGUGGACAGAGAGGAUCAUGAGGGAGCGGUGGACAGAGAGGAACAUGAGGGGGCUGUGGACAGAGAGGAUCAUGAGGGGGCGGUGGACAGAGAGGAUCAUGAGGGGGCGGUGGACAGAGAGGAUCAUGUGGGGGCUGUGGACAGAGAGGAACAUGAGGGAGCGGUGGACAGGGAGGAACAUGAGGGGGCUGUGGACAGAGAGGAACAUGAGGGAGCGGUGGACAGAGAGGAUCAUGAGGGGGCGGUGGACAUAGAGGAGGUAACCUUGGAGAGGAUCAUGAGGGGGCGGUGGACAGAGAGGAUCAUGAGGGGGCGGUGGACAGAGAGGAUCAUGAGGGGGCUGUGGACAGAGAGGAUCAUGAGGGGGCGGUGGACAGAGAGGAUCAUGAGGGGGCGGUGGACAGAGAGGAUCAUGAGGGGGCGGUGGACAGAGAGGAUCAUGAGGGGGCGGUGGACAGAGAGGAUCAUGAGGGGGCGGUGGACAGAGAGGAUCAUGAGGGGGCGGUGGACAGAGAGGAUCAUGAGGGGGCGGUGGACAGAGAGGAUCAUGAGGGAGCGGUGGACAGAGAGGAUCAUGAGGGGGCGGUGGACAGAGAGGAUCAUGAGGGGGCUGUGGACAGAGAGGAACAUGAGGGAGCGGUGGACAGGGAGGAACAUGAGGGGGCUGUGGACAGAGAGGAACAUGAGGUAGCGGUGGACAGAGAGGAUCAUGAGGGAGCGGUGGACAGAGAGGAACAUGAGGGGGCUGUGGACAGAGAGGAACAUGAGGGAGCGGUGGACAGAGAGGAGGUAACCUUGGAGAGGAUCAUGAGGGGGCGGUGGACAGAGAGGAUCAUGAGGGGGCGGUGGACAGAGAGGAUCAUGAGGGGGCAGUGGACAGAGAGGAUCAUGAGGGGGCUGUGGACAGAGAGGAUCAUGAGGGAGCGGUGGACAGAGAGGAUCAUGAGGGGGUGGUGAACAGAGAGAAGGUAACCUUGGAGAAGAUCACGAAGGGGCGGUGGUCAGAGAGGAGGUAACCUUGGAGAGGAUCAUGAGGGAGCGGUGGACAGAGAGGAUCAUGAGGGGGCUGUGGACAGAGAGGAUCAUGAGGGGGCGGUGGACAGAGAGGAACAUGAGGGGGCGGUGGACAUAGAGGAGGUAACCUUGGAGAGGAUCAUGAGGGGGCGGUGGACAGAGAGGAUCAUGAGGGGGCGGUGGACAGAGAGGAACAUGAGGGAGAGGUGGACAUAGAGGAGGUAACCUUGGAGAGGAUCAUGAGGGGGCGGUAGACAGAGAGGAUCAUGAGGGGGUGGUGGACAGAGAGGAUCAUGAGGGGGCGGUGGACAGAGAGGAUCAUGAGGGGGCGGAGGACAGAGACAGAGAGGAGGUAACCUUGGAGAGAAUCAUGAGGGGGAGGUGGACAGAGAGGAUCAUGAGGGGGCAGUGGACAGAGAGGAGGUAACCUUGGAGAGAAUCAUGAGGGGGAGGUGGACAGAGAGGAUCAUGAGGGGGCAGUGGACAGAGAGGAUCAUGAGGGGGUGGUGGACAGAGAGUAUCAUGAGGGGGUGGUGGACAGAGAGGAUCAUGAGGGGGCGGUGGACAGAGAGGAUCAUGAGGGAGCGGUGGACAGAGAGGAGGUAACCUUGGAGAGGAACAUGAGG
ensembl:lncRNA